UGGGGAAUUUUGCACAAUGGGGGAAACCCUGAUGCAGCGACGCCGCGUGAUUUAGAAGGCCUUCGGGUUGUAAAAAUCGUUUCUAUGGGAAGAAAAUGACAGUACCAUAGGAAUAAGGACCGGCUAAUUACGUGCCAGCAGCCGCGGUAAUACGUAAGGUCCGAGCGUUGUCCGGAAUCAUUGGGCGUAAAGGGUACGUAGGCGGGUAAGCAAGUUAGAAGUGAAAUCCUAUAGCUCAACUAUAGUAAGCUUUUAAAACUGCUCAUCUUGAGGUAUGGAAGGGAAAGUGGAAUUCCUAGUGUAGCGGUGAAAUGCGCAGAUAUUAGGAGGAAUACCGGUGGCGAAGGCGACUUUCUGGCCAUAACCUGACGCUGAGGUACGAAAGCGUGGGUAGCAAACAGG
rnacentral:rRNA from 1 species